rnacentral:rRNA from 1 species
CCUACGGGGCGCUGCAGUGGGGAAUAUUGGACAAUGGGGGGAACCCUGAUCCAGCCAUGCCGCGUGUGUGAAGAAGGCCCUCGGGUUGUAAAGCACUUUCAGUGAGGAAGAACGCCUGGUGGUUAAUACCCAUCAGGAAAGACAUCACUCACAGAAGAAGCACCGGCUAACUCCGUGCCAGCAGCCGCGGUAAUACGGAGGGUGCGAGCGUUAAUCGGAAUUACUGGGCGUAAAGCGCGCGUAGGUGGCUUGAUAAGCCGGUUGUGAAAGCCCCGGGCUCAACCUGGGAACGGCAUCCGGAACUGUCAAGCUAGAGUGCAGGAGAGGAAGGUAGAAUUCCCGGUGUAGCGGUGAAAUGCGUAGAGACCGGGAGGAAUACCAGUGGCGAAGGCGGCCUUCUGGACUGACACUGACACUGAGGUGCGAAAGCGUGGGUAGCAAACAGGAUUAGAUACCCGAGUAGGC